rnacentral:rRNA from 1 species
AGUGAACGCUGGCGGUAGGCCUAACACAUGCAAGUCGAACGGCAGCACAGUAAGAGCUUGCUCUUACGGGUGGCGAGUGGCGGACGGGUGAGGAAUACAUCGGAAUCUACUUUUUCGUGGGGGAUAACGUAGGGAAACUUACGCUAAUACCGCAUACGACCUACGGGUGAAAGCAGGGGAUCUUCGGACCUUGCGCGAUUGAAUGAGCCGAUGUCGGAUCAGCUAGUUGGCGGGGUAAAGGCCCACCAAGGCGACGAUCCGUAGCUGGUCUGAGAGGAUGAUCAGCCACACUGGAACUGAGCCACUGUCCAGGCUCCUGCGGCAUGCAGCAGUGGGGAAUAUUGGCCAAUGGGCGCAAGCCUGAUCCAUCCAUAGCGCGUUAGUGAAGAAGGCCUUCUGGUUGUGAAGCCGUUUUGUUGGGAAAGAAAAGCAGCAGGUUAAUACCCCGCUGUUCUGACGGUACCCAAAGAGUAAGCACCGGCUAACUUCGUG